ensembl:rRNA 5S_rRNA 5S ribosomal RNA
GCCUACUGCCAUACCACCCUGAAUGCGCCCGAUCUCGUCUGAUCUGGAAGCUAAGCAGGGUCGGGCCUGGUUAGUACUUGGAUGAGAGACCACCUGGAAAUACUGGGUGCUGUAGGCU